ACUUAAAUAGCUUAUAUAAGAGCAUAGUAUUGAAGAUACUAAGGAAAAUUGAAUUUUUUAAGUA
rnacentral:tRNA from 1 species